rnacentral:tRNA from 1 species
GGGGUGGUGGCUCAAGUGGUAAAGCGCUCACCUAGUACGUGUGAGGCACUGGGUUUGAAUCUCAGCACCGCA